GUGUCAGCAGCCGCGGUAAGACGGAGGAUGCAAGCGUUAUCCGGAAUUAUUGGGCGUAAAGCGUCCGCAGGUGGCUUAUCAAGUCUGCAGUCAAAGACCGGGGCUUAACCCUGGAAAGGCAGUGGAAACUGAGAAGCUAGAGUGUGGCAGGGGCAGAGGGAAUUCCCGGUGUAGCGGUGAAAUGCGUAGAGAUCGGGAAGAACACCGGUGGCGAAAGCGCUCUGCUGGGCCACAACUGACACUCAGGGACGAAAGCUAGGGGAGCGAAAGGGAUUAGAUACCCCUGUAGUCC
rnacentral:rRNA from 1 species